rnacentral:misc_RNA from 1 species
GUUGAGUUUAGUUGAGUUUAGUUUACUAUGUUAUAAUUAGAAAACUGGUUAUUACAAGUCCAAAGGACUUUUAUGUUCAUUAAAUUAAUGUUGGGAGAGUUUUAUAUUACAAAUUAAUGUUGGGUAUUUGACUUCACUAUUGCAAGGCAUGAAGUUUAGGGACAAUCAAUGAAAUUGAUCCCAUAGAUUUCAAUAAACGACAUAAUGUUCUCUGCUAUGAUGCAACAUCAUUGCUUCACAAACAAAGAAUAUAGCACCAAACGACAGCUAACUUAGAUCUACUAUAAAAUCCACAAAUUGAAGUAUAAACCAAGCAGGUAAUAUGCAUUUCAUGAAUGCAAUUAUAGAGUAACACUUGAAGAAGAAUGCAUCCACUAAAAAGUGACAGAUAUAUAAAGCACAUGUCUAUAUAUAGAAUUUAAAACAAUAAUUUGAGAUGUGAACUGACGUCUUUCUCGGGCUUCCGUAGAUA